AGUUUUUGUUUGUCUCAUAGCUUGUACAUUGAGCAGAGAUCUUACUAUUACGCUCUUGAACUUGAUACUGAUAAAACAUAGCAAUUCAAAGGCUAAUGUGUGUAGAGUUUUCAGCAAUAUAAGAAGAAAUUAGCAUUCUACAUCUGUCAAAUCUGGCAAAUAAGUAAUCAUGAUUGAUCUCUUUCUUUUCUGUUUUACAGAGGAGUUUGUUUACUUUUCUUCAAAUCGGCAUCAUUGCAAACCAAAGUUUAUGAGAAUCAAAGAAUAUGUGUUUAUACCAUGAAUAUGUGUUUUUGAAAAUGAAAAUGUGAUAUAUAUAUAUGGUAGCGACUUGUGAGUGUUUCAUCACUGAUUUAUCAUAGCAUAUCAAACCUCUAGGUAAUGUUUACAUCCUAUUUUUAUACUACUGUUUCACCUUGUAAUUUUUUUUGUUAGGGAAGUCUUGUCUAUUAGGCGACCAACAACUCUCUAACCCUCAUUCAGUGAGAAGAAAAUGGGAGAUUUUUGGCAAUGUUGGGUACCCAGUCUUCAACAUUAAAGUGUUGACUUUGCUCUUCUCCAAGACUCCAGGAUGGUGCAUGUAUGCAAGAAUUACAAGCUACUUUAAAUAUGUGAAGAUUUACAGGGUUUUUGGCACAUAAUAGUAGAUAGGUUUUAAGAAAUAGAGUUAUAGGACCGUGAUUGCAUGAUUUAUUUU